AGGGUUCGGCGCCAGUGGGUCCACAGGAGCGGCCCAUUCAGGAGCAUUCUCAUCAGCCUGCCGAGGCAGAGGUGUCUUCUCGUGAGACUACCGAGGCGCAGCAUCUCGUCCAGGAGACUACCUCAUAUUCACCACCAUACCCAUCUCAGGAGCCUACAGACCCAUCUCAGGAGCCUACUCAGGCGCCCGUUGACACACAGGUUCAUCCUUCGGCGCCUGCGGUGGCAACUCCCGAACGAGGAAGAGGUCGAGUUUCCAGACCC